GAAAUGCGAUAAUUAAUGUGAAUUGCAGAAUUCAGUGAAUCAUCGAGUCUUUGAACGCACAUUGCGCCCCCUGGUAUUCCGGGGGCAUGCCUGUCCGAGCGUCAUUGCUGCCCUCAAGCACGGCUUGUGUGUUGGGCUUCCGUCCCUGGCAACGGGGACGGGCCCAAAAGGCAGUGGCGGCACCAUGUCUGGUCCUCGAGCGUAUGGGGCUUUGUCACCCGCUCCCGUAGGUCCAGCUGGCAGCUAGUCUCGCAACCAAUCUUUUUAACCAGGUUGACCUCGGAUCAGGUAGGGAUACCCGCUGAACUUAAGC
rnacentral:misc_RNA from 1 species